CACGGGUGAGUAACGACGUGGGUGGAAUCUACCUCUUAGUGGGGGGAUAUCUCUGGGAAACCGGAGUUAAUACCGCAUAAGUUCGAGAGAAGAAAGCAGCAAUGCGCUGAGAGAGGAGCCCGCGGCCGAUUAGCUAGUUGGUGGGGUAAAAGCCUACCAAGGCAGAGAUCGGUAGCCGGCCUGAGAGGGCACACGGCCACACUGGCACUGAAACACGGGCCAG
rnacentral:rRNA from 1 species